GGCCCAGCUGAUCACCAAUCACAUAUUCCAAGUAACCAGUAACUUUUCAAGUCGUGUGCACCAAACUGGCAAGCAAGAAGUCUGCCCUCAAGAGGUCCAUCCGGCUCAUCAAGCAUUGCAAUGCAUCACAACUGAAUUGCACAGGUGCAUGCGGGAAGAAUUCCGCAGAAUGUCAAGAUUUCAACAUUGCGUCCCAGCCAGGAUCUGUUAGGUCCAGGGCAAGCAACUGGUGCAGACAGUGCGCCACUGCAUCGCUGUCCCCUCUCCGCUGGUGCGCCACCACAGCCAAUCGCAGCAUCUCAGUCCAGAUUGUAAGCACUGCUCCUUUGCCAGCAAUGUUUCCCUGCGAGUAAGGUACUCUUCAGACCAGAUUAACGAUAUUCCAUUGAAUAGGAAAAGAGCGUGAUGUAAGCCAAGACAAGUGUAAGAUGCUCCCCAGGGCGCAUACCACUUUUGGGAACUGCUGCCGAACUUCCCCAGUACUGCGGAUGUCACCCUUCACAGGGUCCCAAUACCAUGACCCCAAGCGAGGCAAUCUCUGCUUUGUCCCAAACGGCUGCAUUCCACCCACGGUCUG
rnacentral:lncRNA from 1 species